rnacentral:tRNA from 1 species
GCCCGAAUGGCGGAAUCGGUAGACGCGUCGGACUCAAAAUCCGAUUUCUGCAGAGAAGUGUGGGUUCGAGACCCUCUUCGGGCACCA